rnacentral:rRNA from 1 species
UACGUAGGGUGCGAGCGUUGUCCGGAAUUAUUGGCGUAAAGAGCUCGUAGGCGGUGUGUCACGUCGGCCGUGAAAACCUGCAGCUUAACUGUGGGCGUGCGGUCGAUACGGGCAUCACUGGAGUUCGGCAGGGGAGACUGGAAUUCCUGGUGUAGCGGUGAAAUGCGCAGAUAUCAGGAGGAACACCGGUGGCGAAGGCGGGGUCUCUGGGCCGAUACUGACGCUGAGGAGCGAAAGCGUGGGGAGCGAACAGG